UACGUAGGACCCAAGCGUUAUCCGGAUUUACUGGGCGUAAAGAGUUGCGUAGGUGGCAAAGUAAGUUAGUAGUGAAAUCGUGUGGCUCAACCAUACUCACAUUACUAAAACUACUUAGCUUGAAGAUGAGAGAGGUCACUGGAAUUCCAAGUGUAGGAGUGAAAUCCGUAGAUAUUUGGAGGAACACCGAUGGCGUAGGCAGGUGACUGGCUCAUUCUUGACACUAAGGCACGAAAGCGUGGGGAGCAAACGGG
rnacentral:rRNA from 1 species